rnacentral:rRNA from 1 species
CCUACGGGUGGCAGCAGUGAGGAAUAUUGGUCAAUGGGCGCGAGCCUGAACCAGCCAAGUAGCGUGAGGGAUGAAUGUCCUAAGGGUCGUAAACCUCUUUUAUAAAGGAAUAAAGUCAGGGACGUGUCCCCUUUUGAGUGUACUUUAUGAAUAAGCAUCGGCUAACUCCGUGCCAGCAGCCGCGGUAAUACGGAGGAUGCGAGCGUUAUCCGGAUUUAUUGGGUUUAAAGGGUGCGCAGAGGGGCUGUUAAGUCAGUUGUGAAAGCUUGCGGCUCAACCCUAAAACUGCGUUUGAGACUGGCAGUCUUGAGUGCGAUUGAGGUAUGCGGAAUGCGUGGUGUAGCGGUGAAAUGCAUAGAUAUCGCGAAGAACUCCGAUUGCGAAGGCAGCAUGCU